ensembl:rRNA 5S_rRNA 5S ribosomal RNA
GCUUACGGCCAUACCACCCUGAGAACGCCCGAUCUCGUCUGAUCUCGGAAGCUAAGCAGGGUCGGGCAUGGUUAGUACUUGGAUGGGAGACCUCCUGGGAAUACCAGGUGCUGUAAGCU